rnacentral:rRNA from 1 species
GACGAACGCUGGCGGCGUGCUUAACACAUGCAAGUCGAACGAUGAACUUGGAGCUUGCUCUGGGGGAUUAGUGGCGAACGGGUGAGUAACACGUGAGUAACCUGCCCUGGACUCUGGGAUAACUUCGAGAAAUCGGAGCUAAUACCGGAUAGGACCUUGCACCGCAUGGUGUGGGGUGGAAAGUUUUUCGGUUUGGGAUGGACUCGCGGCCUAUCAGCUUGUUGGUGAGGUAAUGGCUCACCAAGGCGUCGACGGGUAGCCGGCCUGAGAGGGUGACCGGCCGCACUGGGGCUGAGACACGGCCCAGACUCCUACGGGAGGCAGCAGUGGGGAAUAUUGCACAAUGGGCGCAAGCCUGAUACAGCAACGCCGCGUGCGGGAUGACGGCCUUCGGGUUGUAAACCGCUUUUAGUAGGGAAGAAGCCUUCGGGUGACGGUACCUGCAGAAAAAGGACCGGCUAACUACGUGCCAGCCGCCGCCGUAAGAC